GAACCCAUCCCCCUCUCUCCGAUAACUUCGGGGAACGAUUUUACGCGAGAAGGAAAGCGAAGCAAGCGAGAGGAGGAGGAAGAAGAAGAAGAAGAAGAAGAAACCCUAGAAAAUGGCGGCGUACUCCAUCACAUCGCCUUCUCCGUCGUGCAACCUCGGCCGUUCGAUCGCCCUUCUCGACUCCACCAAGCUCUCCGCCUCGAGAUCGCUGCGUUGCGCGCCGCUCCGCCGCUCCACGGCGAGGAUUCGGAGGCUCUCCGCGCUUCCCCAGCGCCAAGUUGUUCCUCGGGUUGAAGCGAGGAAGCAAACAUUUUCUUCAUUUGAUGAACUGUUGGAAAAAUCAGAUAAGCCUGUGCUGGUUGAUUUUUAUGCAACCUGGUGCGGCCCUUGCCAAUUCAUGGUUCCUGUUCUAGAAGAAGUUAGUGAAAAGUUAAAAGACAAAAUUCAAGUGGUCAAAAUUGAUACAGAGAAGUAUGUGAGUAUUGCGAACCGCUACAGAAUUGAAGCACUGCCUACUUUCAUCAUCUUUAGGGACGGGAAGCCAUGUGAUCGUUUUGAAGGAGCACUGCCUGCUAAUCAGCUCAUUCAGCGAAUUGAGAGCGCUCUUAAGGUCACACAGUGAGAAUAUAAAAGAAAUUCCGCUGUAGCAUAGUGGUGAGCAUCUCAUUUCAGCGUUAUACUUGGCGUGUUUGAAUUAUUCAUUAAUAGUCAGGAGUUGGGAUGAUGGGAUGCUGCACGAAAACAUGCAGUAGAGGAAUUCGUGACAUAGUUCCAAAAUAUGCUAGACAGGGAAAUAUAAUUUAAUUAUUCUUCUGUUUAAUGUCUUUUUUCUGAUACCAUUGUAUUCAGAAGAUACAUUCAACAAAGAAAUUCUGGAGUAUUUAUUAUCACCUCACUCGUUCGUACUGUCUUUGAUUGAUCUGACCAUAAAAGCCUAACGAUUAAUACGUCCAACUGAUAGCCACUUGAAAUGAGGAUCAGGCUUUUCUAGGGCCAAAAUCAAGCUUUAGUUCUACCUAGUUUGAGUAUUAAAAAUAGACUGUUUGCGAGGGCUUGAAGAGGAGCUUUUUUUUUUUUUCCCAAAUCCAUCUUGAUUAGAUUAUCGCUUCUUCAUUCACUUCCUCAGCUGUGGAUUCUGUCUAUGGAGAAUAUGCUGUGUCUCACGCAACUAUUCAGUAAAUCAUGUCAAUAUCGCCUAUUACCAUUUUAA